GGUUCCGUAGUGUAGUGUUUAUCACGUUCGCUUUUACUGCGAGGUCUCCGGUUCGAUCCCGGGCAGAACCA